ACGAUGAACCGGGCCGCCGCCUGAUCCCCCGGCCGUUAUGACGGGGAAUCAGGAGGAAAGUCCGGGCUCCGCAGGGCAUGAUGCCGGGUAAUACCCGGGAGGAGGGCGUUUUGGGAUUUACGGGUUCCGGGCGCCCUCCGACAGACAGCGCAACAGAAAAAAUACCACCCGGCCCGGCCGGGAAAGGGUGAAAAGGCGGGGUAAGAGCCCGCCUCGGCAGUGGUAACAGUGCCGGAAAGAUUUCGGCGUGAACGGCUGUUUUUCAGCCGCGCCGAAAAAUGGCAAGCCUCAUCAGGAGCAAAGUUAAGCAGUAACAGGGCGGCCCGCCCAUUGUUACGGGUAGACUGCUCGGGUAAAACCCGGGACGCCGUCCGCAAGGCCGGCGCGAGAUAGAGGGCGGCUCGGCGGCAGCUUAAGGCUGUCGCCGAAACAGAACCCGGCUUAUACGGUUCAUCGUUUUU
rnacentral:RNase_P_RNA from 1 species